rnacentral:misc_RNA from 1 species
AACAUCGCGCACCUGCGGGAACCUGCGGAAGGAUCAUUAAAAAGAUCGACGUAUAUGGACGAUCAAAAAAAUCCAUAUCCACCUUGUGUGCACUCACUGACCGUUCGCUUUGGCAGGAGGGAGUCUUGGAUGAUUUUUAUUUUCCAAGCGGGGGGGAGGAAGGGAAAAGACAACAUUCUCUUUCUCCCUCGGCCUGCCAGAGUUUUUAAAAUCAACCCUUUAUUCUUCUUUUUGGACUGA